rnacentral:lncRNA from 1 species
UGGGGAACACAGGUAUAAUUGUGGCAGAUUCAUUACGAUAUUUGGCAAAACUAAUACAAUAUUGUAAAGUUUAAAAAAAUUUAAAACUUAAAAAAAAACCCAACAACAAUGCUUAUUGCAAUACUUGGUGACAUGGUUAGUCCCUAAUAAGCAUUUGUGGACAAGAAUGAGUUGUGUUUGGCACAGUAUUUGGGCAGCUUGAAAUUUCUAGAGACCCAGUUUCUUUUAGGCGUGACACUGGAGUGGCAGCUGGAGCAACUUUGAGGAGAUACCCCACAUCCAAGGGCAAGGAGAAGCCCCAGCAAGAUGGUAUCAGGGGCGAAAUCCCUUUUAGAAUCAAACCCCAUGCCCACCAGAGAUGCACAGAGGGCUCAAACAGCUUGUGCACACAAGGACGCAGAGACCUCACAGACACUCAAACACAGUUCUUGCUCGGUCUCUGGGUCCAGGUGCGCACAAGGUUUGUUUGAGCCCUCUGAGUAAGGGGUUUGAUUCUAAAACCAAGGGGUUUGAUCCAAAAAAAUGCUAUUUUGCCCCUGCAAGGAGAUCCCACCAGUCAAUCCUAAAGGAAAUCUGUCCUGAAUAUUCACUGGAAGGACUCAUGCAGAUAUAAAAACUCCAAUACUUUGGCAACCUCAUGCAAAGAACUGACUCAUUGGAAAAGACCCUGAGGCUGGGAAAAAUUGAAGGCAGGAGGAGAAGGGGACGACAGAGGAUGAGAUGGUUGGAUGGUAUCACCGACUCAGUGGACAUGAAUUUGAGUAAGCUUUGGGAGUUCGUGAUGGACAGGGAAGCCUGGCAUGCUGCACUUCAUGGGGUUGCAAAGAGUUGGACAUGACUGAGUGACUGAACUGAAGGCUAUGCAGAGGUGGGUGGGCAGUUUUUUUUUUUUUUUUUUUUAAGGACUUAGAGGCAAAAGAUAGAUAGGAAUAUCUGAAUAUUUCAGCUUAGAGUUUAGGAAACCAGAUUAGAAUGUGGAGCAGAAGCCCAAACAUGGAGUAAAAGCUAUGAUUACAUGAAUGUUUCACUUGGCUAUUAAUAAUAACACUUAAUAAGACCCCUAAAGCUCAGAGGUUUACCAAAAUAAAUAUGUAUUUCUCAUUUAUGGGUUUACUGGU